AUAUCAGUCAAUAUAGACUCAGCUCCUAGAUUUGUAUCUAAGUUACAAGAGUUGUAUAUUGUGUAUAGUAUAUAUAUAUAUAUAUACCUUAGUUGUAUAUAUAUUAGGGAAAUGGUAGGAAAAAAUUCCAGAUGUUGUUGAUAUGUGCAGUUCUUUCCAGAAAAGUUUUCAUCAAAGUUUUAUAAGGAAAUGACAAACUUAUAUUAGAGGAAGCUCUUCUCAAUACAGAAAGAGAAUAAAAUUCAGCUUUUCUACUAAAGACUUUCUUCACCUUCAGCUUGGAAUCACAGUGAACUUUGAGUCACAUAAUUCAUUGCCUUGAAUUUUACAAACCAACUUCUGUGCCUUAGGCUAAAUAUAUAAAAAUAGUGGCAAGGAGUACUGGUUCCAGUAAUGACAAAGUAUCUUUUACCAAACUAACCCUCCAGCAGAUAACAAUAAUAAGUUCCAAAAAUAUACAUAGAAAAGAAAUAUUUGAAGGCACAGGCUCAUGGCCAAAGCAGACAGAAACUGAAGGAGAUUAGACUCAGGAAAAAGAAAAAAGUCACAGGAAGAGAUCCAUGUUUAUAUAGCUUUUCUUCUGAGGACACUCCUGAGUCUGUGUGAGUCAUGAAGUAGGUAUAACUUAAGGAUAACCCAAAGUCUAAAUGGCUUCAAGUGCCAGACACAAAGUUUGAGGCUGCCAGAAAAGUUGAAAAUAGAAGGAGAAUAUCCCAGAAAAAAAAAGAAGGUACAGAUAGUAAAUCCCCUCAAAUCCAUGGCUUACCUCUAAACCACUCAGGCACAAGCAAGGAAGACUCUAAGGAGCCCAAUGGAACAAAAUUGCUGGAGGGCUGAAGAAGUUGAGAGAGAUUUCAGCUACACUGUCCAAUAGGGGUAGGUGGGAGGAGGCAGUGUGGAAUUCAAGUACUGUAUAAUGGAAAAUAUUGGUAAAAAUAUGGGAAUUUCCAUUGAAACCCUAGAAUGGCUAUUCCUUUGAGGUAAAGAUUAAGUCCUAGUACUAAAGGAUUCAUCAUAGGACCAAGGACAAAACUGAAACAGAAAUGCCAUAAAAGAACAUAAAAACAAACCUCUGUAAGUUCAAAGUGAUUAGCCAAUAAUUUUCCUGCCUACUAGAAUAAAAACAUUAUUCAAGGAAAAGAAAAUAAGCUUCUAUAAGGUCUUAUCCAAAAUGUACAGCAUACCAAAAUUUUUUUAGAGAUGGCAAAGAAACAAAAAUGAUGUGCCAUAGUCAAAAGAAAAAGUAGUCAACAGAAAUACACCCUAAGAUGACCUGAAUAUUGUAAGUGGCAGGUAAGGACUUUAAAACAGUAAUUAUAAAUAAGUUCAAAGACUCAAAGGAAAAUAUGUCUUAAUGAAUAAAUAGAUGAAUUUCAGCAGAUAAACAAAACAUAUUUAAAUGAACCAUACAAAAAUUCUAGAGCUGACCAGUACAGUAUCAGUAAUAAAAAAAAAAUAACUGGGUAGACUUCACAGAAGACUGGACAUGACAAAAAAAAAUAAAAUCACUGAACUGAAGAGAGGUCAACAGAAAUUAUCCAAUCUGAAGGACAAAAUUAAAAAGAUAUAGAACAAUAUCAACAGAGAAUCAAUGAUUGAGAUAUGGAAAUACUCAACAUACAUGUAAU